GCCAAACAAUAUUGACGGUGAUGCUGUUCCCCUGCAGUCAGAUGCACCUCCCUCCAUGCCGCCUUCCGCUUCUUUUGUCGUGGACGCCUCGUGGGAAUGCCCAGAGCCCCAACGCCUCGUGGAGCGCAUGGACCGUGCUGUCGUGCACAGACUUUGUGGUGUUCGUUGCUCUGACGAUUUUCAUCGUUUUUAUUAUUAUUUCCUCUUGAUUCUAACGGCUCUGUUCUAAAACCGAAGACGCAGGGAGGCAGGAGAAGGGAACCCCAUCCGGCGCAGUGCGCUACUGCAAGCUUUGAGGGGCUUGCUUGAAAAACAAACUCCCCCCACCCCCAUCUGUUGUCACACAUGCCCCAAGGGUGAUGGCACCAGAUGUGGGAUCCCCAGCCUGGGAAUGAGGAGCCUUCUAGGGCCAGGCUGUUAAAGGGGCCUGGGGAAUUCCCCCCCAAAGGCCUGCUCCCCCCACCCCUUCCCAGCAGGCUGUAGUUUCUAAGCUGUGAACAUUUCAAGAUAAAGUAAUAGUGGAGAGAAAAAGAUGGCUCAGCUAUUUUUUCACAGGUUUACACUAGUUGAGCUAAGAUGAGUUUCUUUGGAAAGUAAUCACAAUGGUAACUUAUAUUCCAAGACCAUCUUGUUGCUUCUUGUGAUUUAAAAAAAAAAAAAAAAGAAUGCUGUAUAUAACAUAUUGGGUAUUGCAGACCAAAUUAAGUGUUUCGCCUUGUUUAAAUGAAAUGCAUGUUUAGUGAGCACUAAUCCAAUCUUAUUACAAAAAGACUGUUUCUGGUAGCUUAUUGUGAAGUAAGCCAAUUAUAAUGAAUGUCUAUGUCUUGUUUUAAAGUCAUAUCUGUCUUUGCACAAAUGCACCAAUCAGCAGGUAUAUUUUAUAUAUUCCAGAUCAGUACCAAGUCAUCCUGACUAGCCCAAACUUAAUGUUGAAUGUUUUUCCAGAGUAGCAGUGCCUGGAGAAUAGAAGCAGGGCAGGCCGAAGUGGGAACCAGCAAAUGGAGCGCCAGACGGUUGACCUUAUGAGAGAUGUGAGGUGACGGGUGGCCCACCAGCCCAGCAGCUGGUUGGUAGUAUUACAUUGGAGGUGUCUGAGCAGAUGGACAUUCUGUAGACCUGGGAAAAAUAGAGUAUAAAUUCGCAGGACUUCCCAAUGGUUUGGUCCACAUGAAUGGUUAGGGAGUCGUAUCUGGGAAGAUGACUUUCCAUGCCCCAACUGGCCCUACGGAGUCAGGGGUUGGACAAUCAUCUGAUUCAUAAUGAAGAAGGCAUGGGCAAGUGCGUCUGUGAUUUUCAAGGCCCACGAUGGAGAAUCCAAAGGUGUUUUCCAUCACCGUGUUCUUUGAAGGAAGAUCUCUAUUUCCAGAAGUGACAGCACAAAUUUGAGCUGCUGUUUGAUCUCGUGACCUCAGACACACUAAUUUGAAUUGAAAGCUAAGAGUAAAAUUUGCUGGUGAUAGGGGAGCCAUAUUUCAAUAAGCAGUAGGCAUGAGGAAACCCAAACACUCGAGGGUGUAGAUGGGGAGAACUUACCCCAAGAAAAGGCAGAAGGCCCCCAGUGGGUCUGUCUCCUGCCACGCUACUUCCUGUAGACCAAGGACCACAGAGAGGUAGACCUCAUAACCAUGAGGAAGAUGAUGCUGAGCCCAUUCUAACCUCCAGAUUCUUGUGUAUUACUUGAAUCCACUCUAACGGGUAGCAAAAAUCCAAAUUUGUGUGGUUGACCAACAUGAACCCAUUUUGCAGGAUGAAAUUUGAGACCUGGACUCCGUAAAAUCAUUUAAAUCCUCCUCCAAGUGUCAAUUUCUCACAAUAGUUUUACACGGAGACUUGCCAAGUUCCUCCAUGGCCCAGAACCUGAAGCUGGAAUGAGGAGCAGGGAAGAGGGUCUCCAGCUGUUUAGGAAAGAAAACAAGAGCCAGACGCACGGCUAAUGAACGCCGACACGCUGGGGACAUACAGAAAUAGCCCUCAUCCUGGCCUGCCAUUGACCCUGUCUGUAUUUUCUCGAGGGUUGUUUUUCUUCUCCUCCUUCCUGGGAAGGCCUUGGUAGGACGAAUGCAAUGCACUCAUUUUGGCCAAGGGACCCUGCAGCACACAGAAAGCUGGAUGCCUAAAGGUUUAUGUCACUCCUGUGCUGGGCUGUUCAUUGUCAUUGCUGUGUGGAGGGAUGGAUUCUGCUCUGUCUGAAAUCAAGCCAGCCUGUGAUGUUCAAGGGACUGGAAUAAAGUGGUUUAUAAAUUGAA